UUGGCUUUGACCAUUCCCAGUUUAUACUGU
rnacentral:piRNA from 1 species